rnacentral:rRNA from 1 species
AUUGAACGCUGGCGGCAGGCCUAACACAUGCAAGUCGAGCGGUAGCACAGGAGAGCUUGCUCUCCGGGUGACGAGCGGCGGACGGGUGAGUAAUGUCUGGGAAACUGCCUGAUGGAGGGGGAUAACUACUGGAAACGGUAGCUAAUACCGCAUAACGUCGCAAGACCAAAGAGGGGGACCUUCGGGCCUCUUGCCAUCAGAUGUGCCCAGAUGGGAUUAGCUAGUAGGUGGGGUAACGGCUCACCUAGGCGACGAUCCCUAGCUGGUCUGAGAGGAUGACCAGCCACACUGGAACUGAGACACGGUCCAGACUCCUACGGGAGGCAGCAGUGGGGAAUAUUGCACAAUGGGCGCAAGCCUGAUGCAGCCAUGCCGCGUGUAUGAAGAAGGCCUUCGGGUUGUAAAGUACUUUCAGCGGGGAGGAAGGUGUUGUGGUUAAUAACCACAGCAAUUGACGUUACCCGCAGAAGAAGCACCGGCUAACUCCGUGCCAGCAGCCGCGGUAAUAC